AGUCUGAGAUAUUUAAAUUUGAAAUGAUGCUAAUUACUUUGUAACAAAAAAAAGUCUCCCUGCAAAUAGGCAACUCUUUACCUAAAACACCAUUAACCUAAUUAACCUAAAGUCCCACUAUAAAUAGGUCUCUUGUAGGUAAUCAAGAGAAAUUAAUAGAAACAGAAAACAAUGGGAUGCUUUUCAGCAAUUUUCUGCUCCACCAUUUUUGCUAAUUCAAAGGUCUUCGACGAAAAGCAGUUUUCUGAUGCAAAAAGGUCUAACAAGUCUGAGAGAUUGAUGAGCAAAUCAAAAUCUCCAAUUCUUGUUCCUCAUUUUCCUUUUAAUUUUUGUGCUCCGAGGCUGUAGUUUUUUUUUUUUUUUCUCAAUGUAGCGGGUAUUUAAUUUUGUUCUUUUGCAUUAUUAUUAUUAUUAUUUUUUUUUGAGAGAGAGCAUGACUAAUCUUAAUUAAUCAUGCAAUUUUGAAGAGUUAGGAAUAAUUUCAUUCAUGUGAGUGUAUUAAUCUCUUGCGAUUUUUAUGAAUUAGAAAAUUUUGAGUUAUUUUAUAUUCA